AAGAGGCCAUUUGGCCGUGACCUAGAGAGAAGAUAGAGAGAGAGAGAGAGAGAGUGGCGUGCUAGAGAGAAGGGGCUGCCAUUUCUAGAGAGAAGGAGGAGAAGAAAGAAAGGAAGAAGAAGAAGAAGAAGAAGGGUUCAAGCAAGGGGUUUGAGCAAGGAGGUGCUUCUAGAUUGGAUUCUUGAUUUCUAUCAAGAGAGGUAGCAAAUAGGUUUCUCCAUGGCACGCGCGGUGAUGUGGGAAGUUCUAUCAUCCUGGUGUGUAUGGCGUGGGGCAUCCUAUGGAUGAAAAACGAUCACUUAAAGACGCCAUUUUAAUAAUGUUAUGUUUUAUGAGACUUUUUAAACUUAUCAGUGGGACUUAAAUUAUUGGUUGUUUUUUUUUUGGAACUUUGCAUAAAAACUCAUAUUUUCUUUUAAAACUAUUGGGCCCAACUUGCAUGUUUUAAGUAAGAACCCACUGAAACCUUUAUAAUAAGUGGCUUUCCUUUAAAAACCAACGAAAUGUAAAUGUUUCAUUAAGUACUAGUUUAGGGCGUUCUUUACAGGCGGCACUUUAUUUGUUGGGUAGUUUUAUCGUGGAAAAGUAAAUAUUUAUUUAUGUGUUUUAAUUGUUGCAUUCAUGCAUCAUAUUUACUUUCUGAAUAAUUGAUAUUUUUUCAAAUACUAAUUUUAUUGUAUUUUAUUUAUUUUCAGUAUUAAAAUUUUGCCACCAAAUUAUUUUCCCAUUAUGUGCCUAGUGAUGAAUCAAAUGAUUGAUGAUCAUAAAGUAAAGUGAAACUAACUGAAGAAGAUGAAGGAGGAUGGAUAAAUUCAACUUUGUUUGUUUUUUUGGCUAAAAAGCUUAAACAUAUUUAUAAUGAAAAACAGUUUCCUCCUGUACCAUCAUUAGAUGUAAGGAAAAAGGAACAUGAGAAAUAUGCUGAUUGGAUGAGAUCAAAUCACAUGGCGAGAUUUUACAUUCUUAGUACCAUGGAAGAAAAGCUAAGGAAAAAGUUCGAACACAUUGAAUGUGCUUGUGAUAUGUGGGAUGCCCUCUAUGAGGAUAUACAGACAAGACUGCAAUCGCGAAAAAUACACUUGAGCAAUCAAGAGGAACUUACUGAUGGAGACAAAAAGGGAAAAAGGAAGAGAGAGAAAGCGUCUAGUUCAAGAAUUCGUUAAAGAAAGUCCUUUU